AUGUAAAUAUCUGCAGCAGUGACUGGUGUCCAGGCUAUUUUACAGACUGAACCAACAACCAGGGAGGGAUUUUUACAAUAUUCCUGUCACUUCACCCUGGAUUCAAACACAGCUAAUGGAAAAGGAGGGUGGAGGAGAGAGCUGAGCUCCAGUCAUAUCCUGAUCAUCCAGAGAGAUUUUAUAAGAGACCUCAGGUGCUGUGUAGAGAGGGUGUGUCUGGACGCUGCUACUGGGAGGUUGAGUGGAGUGUCCAUGUGUCUAUAGCAAUGGCAUAUAAGAGCAUCAGCAGGAAAGGAGGACGUAAUGUGUGUUUGGAUGGAAUGAUCAGUCCUGGAUGCUGGAUGUCUCCUGCUCCAGAUGCUCUUUCUGGCACAAUAAUAAAGUGACUAAACUCCCUCUAGUGGCCAGCUCCAGAAUAGGAGUGUAUGUGGAUCACAGGGCAGGAACUCUGGCCUUCUACAGCAUCUCUGACACAAUGACCCUCCUGCACAGAGUCCAGACCACAUUCACUCACACACUCUACCCUGGAUUUGCAUUAGCUUGUGUAUCUUCAUUGAAACUG